rnacentral:misc_RNA from 1 species
GAUGAAGAACGUAGCGAAACGCGAUAGGUAAUGUGAAUUGCAGAAUUCCGUGAAUCAUCGAAUCUUUGAACGCACAUUGCGCCCCCUGGUAUUCCGGGGGGCAUGCCUGUCCGAGCGUCAUUGCUGCCCUCAAGCCCGGCUUGUGUGUUGGGUCUCGUCCCCCUUCCCGGGGGGACGGGCCCGAAAGGCAGCGGCGGCACCGUGUCCGGUCCUCGAGCGUAUGGGGCUUUGUCACCCGCUCUGUAGGCCCGGCCGGCGCUUGCCGAUCAACCAAAACUUUUUUCCAGGUUGACCUCGGAUCAGGUAGGGAUACCCGCUGAACUUAAGCAUAUCAAUAAGCGGAGGA